rnacentral:sRNA from 1 species
UCACGGUUUAAAAGUUAUAGAGUCAUACAUUUUUCC